GGGGAUUUGGCUCAGUGAUAGAGCACUUGCUUAGCAAGUGCAAGGCCCUGAGUUCAGUCCCCA
rnacentral:tRNA from 1 species